AGAUUGAACGCUGGCGGCAGGCCUAACACAUGCAAGUCGAGCGGUAGAGAGGUGCUUGCAUCUCUUGAGAGCGGCGGACGGGUGAGUAAUGCCUAGGAAUCUGCCUAGUGGUGGGGGAUAACGUUCGGAAACGGACGCUAAUACCGCAUACGUCCUACGGGAGAAAGCGGGGGACCUUCGGGCCUCGCGCCAUUAGAUGAGCCUAGGUCGGAUUAGCUAGUUGGUGAGGUAAUGGCUCACCAAGGCGACGAUCCGUAACUGGUCUGAGAGGAUGAUCAGUCACACUGGAACUGAGACACGGUCCAGACUCCGUACGGGAGCAGCG
rnacentral:rRNA from 1 species